GAUUAUUUAUAGCCACACACACAUUUUCAACACAUGUUGAUACCGAUUUCACACCCCCUGUACGUCGAUAAUCCAAACUGAGUUGUAUAAUUCAAACUGAAGAAAAAAAUGUCGGCCGAAACUGAAACUGAAAGAAUAACAUCAGACAUGCAAGCUGGAAGAUAAAAAGCCAGACAGGGUCAAUGUGCAGAAGAUGUCAAGGAAUACUUUACAUUCUUGAGAAGAAGUUUCAUAACCUAUUGUAUACCGAUCCAACAGGGAACACUAAGCCUCUCUGCCUAAUGAUUGUGCUAUAAGAGGAAGAAUAAGAAUGCUGUGCAUAAGGAACUAUUCCAGUCUAUCCCACUUGCAGAUGUAGCAAAGCAAACAAUAUGUGACUAAUAAAUUAUAUGAUAUAACACCUAAUUGUUGCACCAAUUUCAAAUCAUGAGCAGUCUAUGAUAAUGUGAUGCAAUAAUUGUAGAUUUAAGAUUUAACUGCCUCAAGACCUCACUCAUGUUUAUGGAAUAUGUUUGAAUGUAUAAGACAUUUUACAUAUACUCAUUUUAUUAUGCAUUUUGUUAUCCCAACGCUUUUUGAAAAGCGUGUGGAUAUUGUGGUUAUCUCCGCCGUCUGUCCGUCUGUCCGUCCGUCCGUCCUAGCCACUAUUAUCUCCUACACUUUUAGCACUAGAACCUUGAAACUUACACCCAUGGUAGCUAUGAGCAUAUGUGCGACGGUGCACUAUCCGGAAUUUUGAUCUGACCUCUGUGUCAAAAGUUACGGGGGUUGGGGUGGGGCCGGGUCAGAGAUUUUCCUGCGACUGCGAUUCGAAAAAGGCUCAUAACUACUGUGUCCCUUCAGAUAUUGCUUUCAUAUUUGGUAUGCAUGUGUAUCUGGACAAGACCUUUCCAUGCGCAUAAAAUUGUUCACCCCUGUGACCUUGACCUUGAACUUUCGGUCAGCUUUCAGGUUUCGAAAUCUGCGACCGCGAUUCGAAAAAGGCUCAUAUCUACUGUGUCCCUUCUGAUAUUGCUUUCAUAUUUGGUAUGCAUGUAAAUCUGGACAACACUCUAUGAGCAUACAAAUUUUUACCUCUCUGACCUUGACCUUGAACUUGGGGCCAGUUUUCAGGUUUUGAAAUCUGCGACCGCGAUUCGAAAAAGGCUCAUAACUUCUGUGUCCUUUCAGAUAUUGCUUUCAUAUUUGGUAUGCAUGUGUAUCUGGACAACACCUUUCCAUGCGCAUAAAAUGUUUGACCCCUGUGACAUUGACCUUGAACUUGAGGUCAGCGUUCAGGUUUCGAAAUCUGCGACUGCGAUUCAAAAAAGGUUCAUACCUGCUGUGUCCCUUCAGAUAUUGCUUUCAUAUUUGGUACGCAUGUGUAUCUGGACAAGACCUUUCCAUGCGCAUGAAAUUUUUUACCACUGUGACAUUGAAUUUGAAACUUUGGGUCCGCGUUUAGAUUUCGAAAUCUAUUAUGUGGUUAUCUACCCAAUCAGAAGAAGUGCACGCAUUUUCAUCGGACAAAGGAAUUUUUCAACAAUGAAGCUUGUGUAUUGAAAACAUAUAGUUACACAGUAUUGGCGCAGAGAUGUAUUUAGUAGUCAAUUGUUUGUGUUAACUCAUCUGUGAAAUGGUUUAGCUCAUCCAUCUAAUGUUUAUACAAGGGAGUAUAAGAUAUUGGCGAAAAGGGACACCUGUAUAUGAGAGAAGAGAUAGAAUGCAGUCAAGCAUAAAAAGCAUGAGAAACUCAUGGAAUAGAGCCUCAAGAAUCUAUAAAAGGGCUGAAACUUUCAAUCUGUUCAAGUACACUAUUAGACUCAUUACUGAAAAUCUGUCAAAAUGUUUAAGUGGGAAAAAUGUGAGAAACAAUUUAAAGCAAGAUGGACUUUGAACAGGCACAUCAAAGACAGACAUGAAAUUCAACAUUUUCAUUGUUGUGUACAAGAUUGCGAUAGAAACUUUCUGAGACGCUAAUAUUUAGUCAACGAUUUGACCUCAAAACAUAACUUUUCCAAAACAGAAGCAAGAAGAUUGGCUAUAAGAUAGCAUGUUCAGCCAUCUCAUAAGUCAUUCCAAUGAGGAUGACAUGUACAUAAUGGACGUAAGUGAAGUUGAUUCAGUAUUAGAUUUGUUAAGAGAGCAGGAUGAGGAGGAGAAAUUAGGGUAUAGAUUUUCACUCAUUUUUUAGGUUAUUUUACAUUAACUUCUUCAUUUCUACACCGAAUUACUUCAAAUUUAUACUGAACAUCUCUUAUGACAAUACGGUCAAUCUCAACUAUGCAUGGCCCCAUUAUCAACCCUGGGGCGCCCCUGGGUCAAACAUGCGGCGUGGGGAUACGCGUCGGCCUCUGCCGCGCCAUUUCUAGUUUAAUUUUAAAUCCAUUCUAACAUUAUAUGUCAACUUAAAACAACUGUAUGCAUUUAUUACAAUUUUUACAAUGGUAACCAUGGUGACCACAAGGUUGUGAUCAUUGCCAUGCAACUAACACUUAAAAAUUGAUGAUUCCUGAAUGUAUUGUCGUUUAAUAGGUUUUAAGAUAGCCAUGUGUAAAUUAAUUGUACAAUUAAAUGAACAUUGAACAAAUCUGAGAACAUUAUGUUUGUCUAUGUAUGUUCUUAAUUAAAUAGGAUCUGUUUUAAUUCUUUUAAGAUGUAUAUAAUACUUGAAUUACAAUUAAAUCUGAAUUGCUAA